rnacentral:rRNA from 1 species
UGAGGAAUAUUGGGCAAUGCCCGCAAGGGUGACCCAGCAACGCCGCGUGGAGGAUGAAUGUCGUAAGAUUGUAAACUCCUGUUAGAGGGGAAGAAUAGUACCGGUUGGACCGGUAUAUGACUGUACCCUCAGAGAAAGCCCCGGCUAACUACGUGCCAGCAGCCGCGGUAAUACGUAGGGGGCAAGCGUUGUCCGGAUUUACUGGGUGUAAAGGGCGCGCAGGCGGAAUGGAAAGUCAGUGGUGAAAUCCUACAGCUUAACUGUAGAACUGCCUUUGAUGCUUUCAUUCUUGAGUUCGGGAGAGAGAGACGGAAUUCCAGGUGUAGUGGUGAAAUACGUAGAUAUCUGGAAGAACACCAGUUGCGAAGGCGGUCUCUUGGUCCGAUACUGACGCUGAGGCGCGAAAGCGUGGGGAGCAAACA